CUUCGGGGUGCCCAGGCGCGAAAACUCCACCAUGUACGGAAGUACGAUGGGGUUAUCUCGAGUGCAGUCCGAUAAGGGCUGCUUUUCCAUAGAGUAAUAUCCUGUGGGAAUAAGAGGGGGGCAAGACUGGUGUCAGCCGCCGCGGUAACACCAGCCCCUCGAGUGGUGGGGACUAUUAUUUGGCCUAAAGCGUCCGUAGCUGGCUGUAUCCGUCCCCCGUUAAAUCCAGCGUCCUAAGCGUUGGACCGCGGGUGAUACCAUACAGCUAGAGGGUGGGAUAGGUGAGCGGUAUUUCUGGGGUAGGGGCGAAAUCCUUUGAUCCCAGGAGGACCACCAGUGGCGAAGGCUGCUCACUAGAACACGCCUGACGGUCAGGGACGAAAGCUGGGGCAGCGAACCGGAUUAGAUACCCGGGUAGUCCCAGCUGUAAACGAUGCUAGCUAGGUGUUGGGUCGGCCACGCGCCGCCCCAGUGCCGCAGGGAAGCCGUUAAGCUAGCCGCCUGGGGAGUACGGCCGCAAGGCUGAAACUUAAAGGAAUUGGCGGGGGAGCAC
rnacentral:rRNA from 1 species